AGGAAGAAAGGAAGGAAGGAAGGAAGGAAGGACGGACCAGCCUGUUAGGCUGACUGACAGAGUACCCCCAGUCCUCCAGUGCUGCCCACGGCAGGCAUGUGGCAGUGGCUGACAGGGAGUGAGUCUGGAAGUGACCCUUGUCGGGACAGCCUCCUUGAUCCUGUGAUUCAGGACAGGGUGAAAGUCAGUGGCAGCCAUUGGUGCCUCUGGCCGGGGUUCCUCACAGGGGCCGGCAAGGGGUCAGCGAAUGGAGCGUGGAGGGUGGAGGGCUCCUUCUCCGGACCGGAGUGAUGGGUUCGGGAGCCAUUCUGUGUCUGUCUUUGCUGCUGGGCUGAGGAGCUGGAUGGCAUGCUGGGAGUAGUGGGAGCUGCUGAGGAGAUUGGUCCUGGAGGGCAGAGGCUGAAUGUGCAUGUCUGGAGUCACCGUGGAGGGCACAGCUAGAGGGAGCAGCAGGGUGUCCCAGGGAGAAGACACCAGGGCUGGAAUUAGAGGGACAUCAAGGCUGAUACUUGGAGGCAUCCAAUAUAUGGGGCCUGCCUGAUGGGCUGCUCUCAGGUGGGAUUUGGGGGGUGUGAGAGGGGUCAGUGCCCAAAUGACCACGGGGUCCGUGGCCUGUAUGCCCAGUCAGGUGACGAUGCCAUUCAGAAACUAGAUCUCAUGGGGUGCCCGGCUGCUGAGUCUCAGGCCAGGUCUGCAGUGAGUGCGCUGCCCCAGGCGUGGAACACUCUGGUGCCAUCGGGACCCAAGGCUGAGUGCACCCAGGAGCUGUGGGUCUGAAACAGCGGUCAGAGGUCACCGACAUGUGGAGGAGGCCCCUGGAGUGUGGGAGACAGAACCCCCAGGUGUCCAGCUAGGCAGGAGGCUUUGCAGGACUGAGCAGGUGGGGAGGAAGGGCAGGGAGCAUGGCUGCCGGAGGAGAGAGGGCACUGGGGGUGGCUUGGCCUGACGAGGCUGCUUGAAGGAGACACUCUUGGAAACUGACAGGGCUGCAGGCACUUCUGGGAGCAGGAGGAGGGUGGCCUGUCCCGGGCAGACCAGCCUCUCUGGGCUGUGUGGCCCCAGCUCCCUGAGCCCAGAGGGAGGUGAGGGUGAGAAGGCCUGGACCAGGCAGGACACAGCCCCCAGGGCCCCUGCUGGGAAGAGGUCAGAACCUCCCAAGGACCCAGAAGGCCAGGUAACUGAGAACGGGGCUGCUCUCUGCAUCUCCAGGGAGGACAAAGGCGGCCAUGGCAGCAAGGGACAGGGCAGAGGGGAAAGCGGGCAGGUGGAUGUUGGCAGCCACAGAUUCCCAUCCAGUAUCCUGGAGGAGGAAACCCAGGGCUGUGUCCUAGGAGGCCCAGGAAGCCUGGUCAGCCUGGAGGCUGAGGGCGGGCCUGGGAGAUCUGGGAAGGACAUCAGUGUCUCCACCAAGAGCAGCAGGGUCUGAGGCCAUGGCAGCCGCAGGCCCCAUGACUGGGGCUGCAGCCUCCAGAGCCACCACAGCAGCCCGUUGGUCUGGGGAGUCGAAGGUGGAGGCUGUCAGAGGGGCAGUGCAGGGGGCUGCUGGGGUGAAGCCCCCUGUAGCAGCAGCACCCAUCCUGCUGUGGCUCUGCCCUCCUGGACCCCCUGUCCUCCUGGACCCUCUGCCCUCCAGGGCCCUCUGCCCUCCUGGACCCCCUGUCCUCCUGGACCCUCUGCCCUCCGGGGCCCUCUGCCCUCCUAGACCCCCUGCCCUCCUGGGCCCUCCUGUACCCCCUGCCCUCCUAGGCCCUCUGCCCUCCUGGACCCCCUGCCCUCCAGGACCCUCUGCCCUCCUGGACCCUUUGCCGUCCUGGGUCCUCUGCCUUCCUGGACCCCCUGUCUGCGGCCCCUGCUCCUCUCCUCCUUCCCCGACACAUGACUGGAUCCCCCGAUCUGCAGCCGGGGUCUGGGCACUGGGGGUCCUGUGGGCCUCUCGGUGUCUGGGGACAAUCACAGGUUCCCGUGCCCACACCAGCCUCUGCUUCCAGAACACACUAGAGGGUCCCUGCAUCCUGAUGAGUCCACUGUCCCCGCGAUGGUUUUCAGGGAUGGAGAAGGCUCCCUGUCCUCCGCUGGAACCCUGCAGCCGGGCUGACGAGACCCCAGCGAGACCUGCAGAACAUUACAGCAGAAUGAAGGAGAGCCAGAGGAAGAGGCAGAUGUGCUGGCCUGUAAACAGUCUGAUUUCCAAUGUAAACCAGAUUCAGGCCCACGACAUCAGGUAAACAUCUGCAUCAGAGCCCCCGGCCCCCCACCGCCCGGGAGGCCCCGGGGUCCACACGGCCGACUCUGGGACCUGUCACAGUGACCGCCGAGACAUUUCGUAAUUAGGCAAAAUUGAUCCUUGCAUUCCUUCCCUAAAUCCCAAAUCUCUGCAAUUUUACUUCUUCUCAAAAAUGAAAACAUUUGGCAAUUAGCUGAUCCAAGUGAAAAAGGUAGAGAAUGUGCUCUCAACUGGAAAAUGCCAAUUAAGGAAGCAGCUCUGACUUCCCACCCGCCCUGGCUAAGCUGGGAGCUUAUCUUCCCCGAGAAGAAUCUGCUGGGAUAAGGGGGCUUGGGAAACACCGAGGGCAGGGCUGCCUCCUCACCUCCUCAGCUUCCUCUGAGAGCAGAUUAGCCAUGGCCUUGUGCCAGCAGGGCCUGGGUGCCACACAGGGUGGCAGGGGUGGCAGAGCUGGGCCCCUCUCUGGCACUGGGAUUUGGGGUGGCGGGACCCAGUGGGGCACCCGCUUGUGGGCGGCACUGAGGGCGGUGACGUAGGCGAGUGCCGGUGUCUGUCCCUCCAUCUGGCCGGGCUCCCCACCCUGCUCCUGCAGCCCUGGACCUCAGGGCCCAUUUGCGGUGCAAGGCGGCUCUUGGCCAUUUUGCCCGCAGGGCACUACCUUGGAUCUUGUGAGCUUGUGUCCCUUGCCCUCUCUUGUCCAGGUCAGCAUCUCCCACUGUGGGAAUCCUAUGUGGCCCCAUCGUCUGGACAGUGUGAGUCGGGUCACUGUGGCUGUUUUGUGAUGUGUGUGUGGGCUCAUCCCUCAGUGCUCAGAAGCUGCAGACACUGUGGAACCGCUUUUCAGGCUCCGUGGCCGUCACCCCUGCUCUAGAGACUUGAUUGCAGGGACCAUGCCCGGCCGGCCUAACUGCACCCCUCACUCCAGGUGGGUGGGGGGACCCAGGCCUGCUGGCCCCUAUGGUGGUGCAGCCCAGAAGGUGUGAAUCAGUUUACACUGUUCAGUGUCUGAAUAAAAGUCAUAGGACAAAGAGGACUUGGUUGCACAAACUACUGACAUGAAAUUCACAUUUUGCCCUGAAGGAAACGCGAGAUGAAUUGAACUCAUGUUCAGUUUUUAUUUCUCAUUUCUCCCGCCUCAGUCUCUUCUCACGUGCACGACCUCACAGGGCUGUCACAAGGCCUGCUGGGCACACGCAGCUCAUAGAGAAGUGAUGGCUUCCUCCUUGCCCCCUCACCUCCCUCCUUCCCCUCUCCCCCUCACUUCGGAGCACGCAGGCUGAUUGUGGAGACAUCUCCCAGCCAGGAUGUGUCAACAGGGAAUGUGCUGGGGACAGCGGGAGUUCACAGCCACCCCCGCAGGCGCCUUCCUGGAGCACGUCCACAGGCCAUGUGCAGCUGCAUCCCCCACGACGGCAGGGACAAGUUCCUUCCAUAGGGCCCGGUUGGCCCCCAGAGCUGCAGCAUUUAUGAUCCGGUCCUUUGCAGAACGCAAGGGACAGACACGUGAACCCUGACCUAGGUUCUUGUGCAGAAAUGUUCUCUGGUCGGAAUAGAAAGAAAUGAGUCUCAGGACUGGAUCUCUGCGAAGCAGCCAUCGGCCUUUCAAGCAGAAACCAUGGAGCCGUCGGAGGCUGAGUCUUCCAAGGCGCUGGGAGACUUGCGUUUGCCUCUUUUCUAAAUGCGAUGACCGUUGCAGUGCAUGGAAUCAGAGACAUGUAUCUAUGCGUAGAAAUGAGUCUGUAAACACGAUCAAGGUGUGAUUUCUGUAUGACAAUGCAGUUGGAUCAGAAAUUGGAGAGUGCUGGCCGGGCGCGGCGGCUCAAGCCCGUAAUCCCAGCACUUUGGGAGGCCGAGGCGGAUGGAUCACUUGAGGUCAGCAGUUCGAGACCAGCCUGGGCAACAUGGUGAAACCCCAUCUCUACUGAAAACACAGAAAUUAGCCGGGUGUGGUGGCGUGUGCCUGUAGUCCCAGCUACUCGGGAGGCUGAUGUGGGAGGAUCACUUGAGCCCAGGAGGCAGAGGCUGCAGUGAGUAGAGAUAGCACCACUGAACUCCAGCCUGGGCAACAGACCGAGACUCCAUCUCAAAAAAAUAAAUAAAUAAAUA